rnacentral:lncRNA from 1 species
CUCAGUGGGGCCCGGACGUUCCUUCGAGCCUUUUGUUCGUGGGUCUGCUCUGCAGCGCAGGGCGUUUGACUGUCUUCAGGAGCCUGGGAUGAGAUUUGUGAUUGGGGCGAUUGUGCCAUCCCAGAAGUGCCAGCAGAAAGGUUCCCUCCUGGGGAGACAGAGACUCGUGUGGUGAUGGUCCCAGCCAGAGCGCCCUUGAGUUUGUAUGCUCCCCUUCUCUAGGAAGGUGAAGGCCAAGCAGUCUGAGCAGUGACUUAUGUGACAGGGAGGAUCCUUGGGACGAAGGCAUCCCUGAUGGGAGGAGACACGGCUACCCUGAGGCCCUUGGUAGCAGCUUCAGGACAGGCUGAUGGGAAAGGACGCUCUUGGAGUGGCUCAUGCUGAAGGGGGACGCUCUUCUCACCAUCUUGCCUUUGCAGUAAAGCCAGAGCAUCCAGGAACAGCCGGGCAGAGGUGAUCAUGGAGAGUUUGGCCCAAAUAUUUGAGAGAGAUCUGCCUUCUCAAGACUCUUACCUUCCCCAGGAAAGGAGCACAGAGCAGGAGGAAGGAAUGACCUCUGAUCUCCUGUCAGACAGAGCCCGGGUGAGUUGGAUUUUUUUCUCUCUCCCAAAUGCUGGGUCAUUUCUUAGAGCAGAUAGGUCACCUUCCCUUACCUUUGGUCUUUGCCCAACGAUGUCCUGUUGAGGCACCGGAGCCCCAGUUUUUCUUGCCAAGAAAAUGAG